ACUUCCCUGCCUGGUUGGUGUAGGUAGCGGGAUCAUUUGAGCCAACACGAAUUCCAGGGGGUCCGGGAACGGCCGAUAGGGGAACCCUGUGGGGCGCCCGAAGCGGCCGGGGAAGGAGCCCACUUGGACGGACUCGGUUCGAAUGUCCGCUUCACACGGCCGAGGCGGGGAGGUC
rnacentral:sRNA from 1 species